rnacentral:tRNA from 1 species
UGCCCCGAACCAGGAUCGAACUGGUGACCUUACGAUCUUCAGUCGUACGCUCUCCCAACUGAGC